UGAUUUCUUAGGUGUGAAUUGUGUUUAAAUCAGGAGAUUUUACUGAUUAAGUUAAGCAUAUAUUUGGAUUUUGUAGCGCUGGGGAAAAUAGUUGCGCAUUUCAUUUAUGUGCUUAUGAUUGUUUUGAAUUGGUUGGCGCAUGCGCGUCAACGCAACAGUUGGCAUCCGUAGAUUUAUUUAUUAUAAAUAAAUCUACUAGUUUUAUGAAUAAAUCAUUGGUUGAUUUAUCGGUGAAUAUUAUUAAGAAUUAAUUAGGGAAAAUACAAUUGGUCAUUUAGCGUCGGGAACUUGAUAAACUACACGGCCACAGUUAUGUAGUACGUUGGUGGUACUGUAAAGCAAUAACAUGCGACAGUGGUAUAUCUCUAUUGGGUGAAGUGAGAUAUACGACAAAAUGGCGUCGGCCUAGGUGCCGGCGUGAGAUUCACGUGCUGCCAUGGUCAGACGUGGGAUAGUCUCUGUAAGAGUAGCGUGUGUGCUCUGUUACAUUAAAUUAAUUAUACAUUUGUCGCCAUUUGGUAUUUCGUGUAAAUAAUAUACACCCAUUGGCAUUAGUUGAGCAUUUGUUAAAUUGCAUAAAGGAAAAUACAUUUACCGUAUUAGCGUGCAACCAAGGGAGUUGAAUAAUACGUAAACUACAUUGAAUUAAAAAAUGAAAAUAUUAAAAGAUGAUGAAGCAGAAACUGAACGCACUGAACUGUGAAGGAGUACAUUUAGAAACCUGUGCCGAAAUAUAAAAAUAAUAAAAUAGUACUACCACGAGUAGGUGAUAUUGGAUAUGUAAAAUGAAAAUAUCAAAUUUUGUUUCCAUCAAAGAAAAUAAGAUAAAAACCAUCGUCAAUUGAAAGAGAGGAAUAAGAGUAAGAGCAAGAAGAAAGAGAGGUUAUGCUUCCUGAAAACAGGUUAACAGUACACACUAUUCCAAAGCGGUUUGGGCAGAACUGAGUGGAGCGCACGCCGGGUUACAACGAUAUGGUUUCAACAUAGUACAAAAUUACUAAACGUUUAGUAAUUUUUGUAUACUAUGUAGUAGUAUU